rnacentral:rRNA from 1 species
CUAGGCGCGCGAGCGCCAUGCCGCGUGUAUGAAGAAGGCCUUCGGGUUGUAAAGUACUUUCAGCGGGGAGGAAGGCAUUAAGGUUAAUAACCUUGUUGAUUGACGUUACCCGCAGAAGAAGCACCGGCUAACUCCGUGCCAGCAGCCGCGGUAAUU